rnacentral:rRNA from 1 species
UGCUAAUACCGGAUGUGCCGAGAGGUGAAAGGCUUGCUGCCUGAAGAAGAGCUCGCGUCUGAUUAGCUAGUUGGUGGUGUAAGGGACUACCAAGGCGACGAUCAGUAGCUGGUCUGAGAGGAUGAUCAGCCACACUGGAACUGAGACACGGUCCAGACUCCUACGGGAGGCAGCAGUGGGGAAUUUUCCGCAAUGGGCGAAAGCCUGACGGAGCAAUACCGCGUGAGGGAGGAAGGCUCUUGGGUUGUAAACCUCUUUUCUCAAGGAAGAAGUAAUGACGGUACUUGAGGAAUCAGCAUCGGCUAACUCCGUGCCAGCAGCCGCGGUAAUACGGAGGAUGCAAGCGUUAUCCGGAAUGAUUGGGCGUAAAGCGUCCGCAGGUGGUUGUGUGUGUCUAUUGUCAAAGCAUCAUGCUUAACAUGAUAAAGGCAGUAGAAACUACACGACUAGAGUGCGUUCGGGGCAGAGGGAAUUCCUGGUGUAGCGGUGAAAUGCGUAGAGAUCAGGAAGAACACCGGUGGCGAAAGCGCUCUGCUAGGCCGCAA